rnacentral:rRNA from 1 species
CUGAGAGGAUGACCAGCCACACUGGAACUGAGACACGGUCCAGACUCCUACGGGAGGCAGCAGUGGGGAAUAUUGCACAAUGGGCGCAAGCCUGAUGCAGCCAUGCCGCGUGUAUGAAGAAGGCCUUCGGGUUGUAAAGUACUUUCAGCGGGGAGGAAGGGAGUAAAGUUAAUACCUUUGCUCAUUGACGUUACCCGCAGAAGAAGCACCGGCUAACUCCGUGCCAGCAGCCGCGGUAAUACGGAGGGUGCAAGCGUUAAU